rnacentral:snoRNA from 1 species
UAUUACGGAUGACCCUAUCCCGAACCUGAUUCCUGUAAGAUUGACAACCCUGUCGGAUCUGACUUCUGAAAU